ACUCAAAUGAAUUGACGGGGACUUGCACAAGCGGUGGAUCAUGCGGCUCAAUUCGAUGGUAAACGAAGAACCUCACCAGGGUUUGAAACCCAGACGUAAUCCUUAGGAAACUUUGGACCCCGCAAGGCGGCUGGGCAGGUGAUGCAUGGUCGUCGUCAGUUCGUGGCUUGAGUUGUUCCCUUCAGUGGGGUAACGAACGCAACCCGCGUUGCCUGUUUUAAAUGUCAGGCGAGACUGCUCCCUCACGGGAGAGGAAGGUGCGGAUGACGCCAGAUCAGCAUGUCCCUCUGAUAUCCUGGGCUGCACGCAUGAUACAAUGCCGAUCACAACGGGACGCGACAGGGUAACCUCGAGCAAAUCCUUCAAAGGUCGGCUCAGUUCGGAUUGAGGUCUGCAACUCGACCUCAUGAAGCUGGAAUCGCUAGUAAUCGCGGGUCAGCCAUACCGCGGUGAAUACGUUCUCAAGUCUUGUACACACCGCCCGU
rnacentral:rRNA from 1 species